GAUAAACUAGAGAGAGAAGGAAAUAUAAUAAGAGAAAGGGAAUGGGAAGCCCCUUUCUCUUUCUCUUUUCUUCCUUCUUCCCAACGGAAAGGGGAGAAGAGGGUUCGGCAGCAGGUGGCCCACGGCCGGCGACACCCCAUGGUCGUCGGCCUGUGGCGGUGCCGGCGGUGCCACACCUGGCGACGGCCGGCCGGAACGAGAGAGAGAAGAAGGCCGAAUAGGGCUCGGCUUCUCCUUCAAUCCGGCGACUUCCCGGCUACAUUCCCAAAGAGGUAAUGGCCAAAAAUGAUGGAGGAGGAGAAGGUGCUCUCACCUUGCCUCCGGCGAGGUCCUCCCGAUCGGAUCGACGGCGAACGGUCCGAUCCCUCCCGCGGCAAGGUAGAACUCCAAUCUCCCUUCUUUUUUUUUUUGUGUGUGGAAGGGCCCUCGGUUGAUGCCCUAGGAAAAGAAAGAGAGGAAAUCUCCCUGAUUUGGUAGGGUUUUAUCGCCCUAUAACCUCCCCUCCGAUGGAUUCGGAAGGAGGGGAGAAGAGCUUGAAAACAGGGGAGGGAGCCAAUCGGGAGUCUCCCUCCCCGCUUUCUCAUGCGUUGGGCCGCCUCGCUUGGAGGCCGGCCCAAACCACAUGCGGGCCUUACACUAUAUGGGGACUCGAUUUCCAUUAAAUUUAGCGUUUAUAUAUGUUUUCCUAGUUGCCUCAUUUGAAUUAUUCAGGUGCAACAUCCAAUGGCAUUAAUCUAAUGUCUAGUGUUCAUGAUACAUUCUGAAAGUAAGCUAAUAUAAAAGUCAGUAAGAACAUUAGUUUCAGGUGCUUUUGCUGCACCCAGGAAAUGCAUGCGUCUAAGUAAUACUAGCCCCUUCAAAUCAAUCAUGAAAUAUGACCGUCCCUCACUGCAUUUCAUUAAGGUAAUGAAAUAAGAGAAACAGAAGGUGAGGUUGGGAGAGAUCAUCUCCAAACGGAGCAUAAAAACAGCAAUGACCACCUUAUGUCAUCUCCAAACCGUUGCUUAGAACAACAAAGAAUGAAUCUCCACCCAUACAUAUCAGAUCAAAACACCAAACAACCAAGACGUAGAUAUAAUCCAGGCUAGAAACCAGAGCACCUGAAAUUGAAAGAAAGGCCAUGCUUUCCUUGAUCACUAGAGCAUGCAGGAUAAGCGAGAUGCCAUUUAACAUACCAGAGCUGCCUCCUGCUGAGAGUUUUGUUAUUAACUGGUCUAGCAUUUCAUGUAUUUCUGGUUAUUGGAGGGGAAUAAUUUGUUGCGUUGUUUGUUUUUCAGGAUCUGAAUGGGCUUGAUCCAACCUCUAGAGCCCCCUCUUCCAAAUUUGUCCUGUACAGGAACAAAUUGAGGCCCUAAUGAUUUUUGUAUAUAAUAACUUACAUAGUAAAGAUUACUUAAUAUUUUUGUGAUGGUAUAAGAGUCUACAACUUGAUUAGUCUCUCUCAGAAAA
rnacentral:lncRNA from 1 species